GUCUAAAUGCAAAGUGUUGUCAGUAGUAUCUCAUAUAGGUCUAUUUUCUAUUGCUGCACUGGUUUUACUAGUUCUCCUUUUCAUUUCUGUCCACGAAAUCUUAAGAAAAAGGGGGAAAAAGAAUCAAAGUGUAAGCUAGUGCAGCAAUAGAAAAGAGACUUAUUGGCCGGGUUUUGUAUUUUGUACUCGGUCUCAGCGGUAGAAGCGAUUUUAGUUCCCACAUUAACCUCUUCUGCUGCGACUUUGCUUAAAUAUCGUUUUUAUAUUAUUAGAGAAAUAUGGGUAGUGAUGAUAAAAUGUCCAGAAAUAUCCAGUUUAAAAAAAGAAAUAGAAAACCAUUAAGGAAAUGUGAAGUUCUCUCAGAUGAUGAUGACAGUGAGGAUGAAAAACAUCACUUAGGGAGAAGGUCGAAGAAAUGAAAAUCGUUCAAAAACUUCAUGAAAGGCCGACAAGUAUCAAUGUUGUUGGCUUAGCUCUUGGAGAAAAUGUUGCAUCCGAUUCAGAUCCAUUUAACAUGAAAACUGGAGGGAUGGUAAAUAUAGCUGUGUUAAAGAAUACAAAACAUAGACCGAAUGAUAUUUAUGACACUGGCAUCGGAACACAAUUUAAUACAGAGAUCAAUAAACGUGACGAAGAUAAGGAA